AACUCAGACUGUAGUCUUCUCUUUAAUCCCUCUUUUGCCUGGAUCUCCCUUUCGGGUUUUCAAUCCACCAGGAUACCCAUUUUUGCCUAAGCCGCCCUUGCGGGUUUUCGACUUACUGGGUGUACGAAUUCUUUUCAUUUUUUAUCCCUAACUUUUGCCCGAACCUUUUCUUUUUUUCUUUUUUUGGUUCGCCGGGAUGCCCUUUUUUGCCUGGACUCUUUUAUUCUUUUUGUCCAGCGGGUCAAUUUAUGCGAAG
rnacentral:lncRNA from 1 species